UGUGCUGAAAUGGGCUCCAGGAGGCAUCCACAUCUGCCUCCCAGGAACUCGGGGGCUCAGGGCAGUCCAGAAGCACCAAGCUUUCCAUGGGAAAACACGAACACAGGGGAAAGAAGAAGGAAAGGAUUUCUGGCACGAAGCUCCAGUACGUAAACAAGCAGAGUGAGGACCUCAGAGAGGAAGCGCAGUGCUAGAAGGCCUCAGUGAGGGUUUGUGGGAGGACUCUGAAAAAAAGGUGGACAGAAAGGGAAACCGGAGCAAGUGGCAAAGUUGGACUGCGCCCACCCAGACCUCAUCACUGUUCGCUCUCUGGUGCCAGUGCCCAGCUUGGAACGCUUAUGAGGCUGGCGGGUGAGACAGGUGGCGAGCACCCGAGUUCCCGGCUUGCUCCCCUGCCCCCCAUCUCCAGGACACUCACAUGCUUAAAACAGCUGACAGGAGCAGCUUUGUAACUGUGAUCCUUCAGGAACUUCCCCCAGUCGAAACCCAAGACCAGCGCUGCAGAGCAGAAAGAGAAGAGUUGGAACCUGACGCCCAGGAGCCAUAGAAGCAGGUCCUUCCCCACCCAGGCAGCCCCAUACCUGCCCCACUGGUGGCCAUCAGAACAGGCCUGGACCUUAUCCAAAGGGUGACAGACUCUCAGGAGUAGAGGAAGCAUUCAGGGGGAAAUGUCUGAUCUUUCUUCCCCGGAAAAGACAAGGAAAUUCAAAGGCCUUUGGGCUUAAAUUCUUUAGACCUCCCUCAACCUCUCAUUGGUCACAGCCGAUUGGAAUGGAUGGGAGGGGCACACACGUAGGCCCCUCCAACCCUUGUGCGUCUAGAGCUCAGCUACAGCCAAAAACAGACCACCUAGAGCAGAGUUGCUUAUUGCCUGCACGCUUAGAAACUGCUGCGCACACUCAGAAGGUUACUUUCCUUAUCCCGCCACCCCUCUCCAAACCAGACAGGGGUCUCCACUGCCCAUGGGACACAGAAGCCACAGGGCUAAGAGCGAUACAAAAGAAAAGCAGCAAAUUCUGGGUUUCUGAACUAUCAAGAGUAGGGGUCCUAGUACCUCAGAAGUGACUAAAGGGAUUUUCUGGGGUAAUUUGCACAAUCCCUACCAAAUAGGGAAGAUGGCAGUCCACAGUGAGCCUGGGGCAGGACACUCUGUAGCUGUCCUUUUUUCCCAUUCCCGGCUCCUAGGCAGGGCCAGCCCAGGCCUGGCACCCCAUUCCCAACCCCUUGGCAGCUUCUGAGCACCAGUGUUCUGCUGUCUUACCAUCUUGCCCAGUUGGCGUCCCAUCUGCCAGCUGUCCUGUCCCUUGGGAGUGGAGGAAGGCUCCAAUUUUGGCAGACCAGGCCGCCUUGUGGAGGACUUUGGCUUUCUUGGUAGGUGGUUUUCCCUGGAGGGAGGAGAGCACGUGGGUAGCCUAAUGGCUGAGAAUGGAGCGCUGGAUCUGGAAGGUCUGGGUUUAAAUCCGGGGAUUCAGUCCCUCAACCUCUUCAGUUCCUUCAUUUGUAAAUCAAGUGCAUAACAAUAACAAUGCUUGGCUCAAAGGGGGGCUGCAAGGAUGUGAGUUACUGUCUGAUGCCUGGCAUUCAGUAAGUGCUUAGCUAUUGUUCAAAUGCGGAGGGAUAGGUCACUUGGAGCUACAGGGCAGGGAGGGACACUUGUAUCUUUUCUGUCUUUUAAGCCUUUGUUUCCUCCAGGGACUUUUCCCAGUGGCUUCAACUCUCAGCCAUCUCCUUCAUCAGGUGCUCCCACAGAUUUAUGGCAGACAGUGGGCUUCACAGAGGUCUAGGAGGCAACAUUUUGUACACAUAUGGGAAUGUUCUAGAGCAGGUCUGUGGCUUUCAUCAGAUGCUCCACGGGGCCUCCCCAAGAGUGAAAGGCCACUAAUCUAGUCUACAGCUUGUAACUUAAGCACUGAUCAGAAAAGCCCAGAGAAUUUAUUUUAAAAAAUCAGUGAUGGGGCGCCUGGGUGGCGCAGUCGGUUAAGCGUCCGACUUCAGCCAGGUCACGAUCUCGCGGUCCGGGAGUUCGAGCCCCGCGUCGGGCUCUGGGCUGAUGGCUCAGAGCCUGGAGCCUGUUUCCGAUUCUGUGUCUCCCUCUCUCUCUGCCCCUCCCCUGUUCAUGCUCUGUCUCUCUCUGUCCCAAAAAUAAAUAAACGUUGAAAAAAAAAAAUCAGUGAAAUAAAAAUGUGAGUUUACACAGACCUGGGGCAAAGUCCUGGCUCUUCAAUUUGUAACUUCUUUGAGUAAGUUACUAAAAAUUUUUGAGCCUUUAAAAAAAUUUUAACGUUUAUUCAUUUUUGAGAGACAGAGAGAGACAGAGUGCAAGCAGGGGUGGGGCAGAGACAGAGGGAGACACAGAAUCCAAAUCAGGCUCCAGGCUCUGAGCUGUCAGCACAGGGCCCGACGCAGGGCUUGAACUCACGAACCGCGAGAUCAUGACCUGAACUUAAGUCGGACACUUAACCGACUGAGCCACCUGGGCGCCCCUUCUGAGCCUUUAAAAUAGGAAUUUAAGGGGCACCUUUGUGGCUCAGUCGGUUAAGUGUCUGACACUUGAUUUCAGCUCAGGUCAUGAUCUCAAGGUUUGUGAGACUGAGCCCCAUGCUAGGAGCCUGCUUGGGAUUCUCUCUCCCUCUCCCUCUGCCCCUCCCCCUGCUUGCUCAAAAUAAAUAAACAUUAAAAAAAAGAUUAAUAGGGGCACCUGGGUGGCUCAGUCCGUUAAACUUCUGACUUCUACUCUGUGCUGGCAGUGUGGAGACUGCCUCGGAUUCUGUCUCCUUUUCUCUGCCCCUACCCCGCUCGCACUCUGUCUCCGUCUCUCAAAAAUAAAUAAACGUUAAAAAAAUAAUAAAAUAGGAAUUUUUAAAAAAAUAAUAAAAAAUAAAAUAAAAUAGGAAUUUAAGGGGCAUCUGGCUGGCUCAGUAAGUACAGCAUGCAACUCUUGAUCUUGGAGUUGUGAGUUCAAGCCCCAUGUUUGGUGUAGGGAUUUCUCUGGGGAAAAAAAUCUUAAAAAAAUAAAAUAGGAAACUUUAAAAAUUCAUUUUUAAGAGAGCAUUGGUUGGUUGGAUUCAGUUAGCAAGUAUCCCUGAAUUGUAGCUAUUAACAAUACUAUUUAUUAGGUCACUGAGGAGAGAGAUUUUUCUAUGCCCUAACUAAAAUCUACACAGUGAGGGAAACAACAAUGAUUAUGCACAAAAGUGAGAAAUAAAGUAUACAGAAGCACAAAGCAGGAGACAUGGUCUACUGUGACUUUCAAUAAAUGUCAGAGCAGUGGGUCUCAAACUUUGCUGCACAUGACAAUUACCUGGGUGGGGCUCUUUAAAGCCCCUAUGUCCAGGGGGCACCUGGCUGGCUAGGGUGGUAGAGGCAGUGCAUGAGACUCUUAUCUCAGGGUUAGGAAUUAGAGCCCCAUGUUGGGUGCAGAUUACUUAAAACAACAACAAUAAUAAUAAUUAUAAAGCCCAUGUGUCCAGGCCACACUCCAUCCCAAUUAAAUGAGAAUCUUUGGGAGUAAGACCAAGCAUCAAUAUUUUGUUACUACUUCUUUUAAAGCUUGUUUAUUUAUUUAUUUUUUUAGUAAUCUCUACACCCAAUGUGGGGCUUGAACUCAUGACCCCGAGAUCAAAAGUUGCACCAAACAUUAAUAUUUUAAACACUCUCCAGGUGAUCCCAACGUGCAGGCAAGGUGUGAGAACCGGUGUCAUGGACGGUGGCCAUAGUUACCAGGACACAACACAACGUUAGGCGCCUGAGAGCACAUUCCAGUCCCAGUUCUGCUGCUCCCCCAACAGAACCACCUUAGGUAAGUCCCUCUUCCUCUCUGAACCUCAGCACACUUCUCAACUAAUGUGUGGGUGAGACAACACGUCUCUUUAAGAAUCCUUCCAUUUAUAAAACUUCUAUGAAUGUCAGUAAUUAACUAAAGAUUAGUAAGACUUUCUAGGUGGCUGCCUAUGACAUGGAAUCAGAGACCAGGCAUCAACUUCCUAAACCCACCGUGGCUGGUAAAUGUAUGCCUGUCUCCUAAUUUCCUUUCAGAGCAUUUAUAAAGGUAUGGGGCAGGGGCACCUGCGUAGCUCAGCUGGUUAAGCAUCUGACUCUUGAUUUUGGCUCAGGUCAGGAUCUCACCAUUCAUGAGGUUAAGCCCGGCGUCAGGCUCUGCACUGAUAGCACAGGGCCUGCUUGGGAUUCUCUCUGUCCCUCUCUCUCCCCCUCCCCUGCUCAUGUCCUAGCUUUCUCAAAAUAAACAAACUUUAAAAAAAAAAAAAAAAAAAAGUAUGAGGCAAAGACCAAAGGGCACCAGACUCCCCCAAGGCUCUUCUUUUCUUUAAAACUUACUAAAGGCAUUAGACUCCUGGGGGCAGGGGAAGGUGGGGAUUGAAGGGCACCUCUAUUAGUGUGUAAUUUACAGAUUGAUUCCCCUGCAGGCUAAAUUUUGAGAGCAUAAUAAAUAGCAGGAAGUUUACAACCUCAGACAGCCACAAGCAAACUCCUUCCAAAGCUCUCUUGGCCCCUUUGCCAUCAGCCAGGUGGGUGUUCCUGUCUCAGCUCCCAGGGCCCCAGGAAAGGUCUUCCGAGUAACUGCCUCUUACCUGUAAUCUGGCCAAGAUACUGGCUUUCUUGGAGUUGGAGGAGUAGCUCCUAGAACAGGAGACGCUGCAGAAUCUCUUAGUCUUGGAGAAGAAGGCUUCCCUUGUACCCACGAUACCACACAUCUCACAGACAGCUGGGAAGAGAACUUAGCACGUGACCCACCUGAUACGGUCACCCCAGAUCAAACAAAAUGAUGGGCCCUUCAAAACCCGAACAGCACAUUAACCAGGUGAAUCCAAGCCCCCACUCAGACUGACAGGCCUGGAACAGGAGGAGGAGGUUUGUAUACAACUGAAAUCUGCUUUGUCUGAGGUAAGCUGCCUGACAUCCCUCGGUUAUAUGUCAACAGUGGAGCUAAGGCAAAUCCACAGGGCAACAGGUGAGUAUUGGAAAGUUUGUAAAGAAGAAAAUGAGAAGCUAAAAUGCCAUUAACUUCUGUGGGUACCUUUUCUUCUCAUCUAUACAGCCACUGAACUAGAUCAAUGUUUCACGCCUGACAUCAUAUUAGAAUCAUCCGAGUAGCUUUAAAAAUACCCAGCCUGAGAUUCUAAUUAACUGGUCUGUGGUGGGACAAAGGCAUCUGUAGUCUGUUAAAACCUCCCCAGGUGAUCCUAAUGUACAGCCAGGCUAGAGAACACCUGAACUCCACAGUCUCUAAUGGUUCUUUCUAGUUCCAAAGUUCUAAGAUUCUAAGAGAAUGGCCGGAAGAAGACAGAAGGGAGAAAAAAUAAAAUAAAAAAUAAAUAAAAAAGGCAGGGGUGGGGGUGGGAGAAGACUGGUAGAAAAGAAGAGUCAAGUUGCAGAGUAUUAGAGUUCAGGCACCAAGGGACAGGACUAUCCUCACAGACAUCUAGCCUGUCUUCACAGGCAGUCCACAUACUGGAGGCCCUGACACAGGGGUCCAGCAUCUGUCCGAGCAUCACAGCUCAGAAGGUAACUAGCUUCCAGAUGAUCCAUGGGAACUGUCAUCAGUAAUCCUCUCCCUCAGAGGUCACUGGAUUCUGUAUUCCCCCCACACCUCACAUCCAACCCACAAGCUAUUCCUUGACCUUCCCCAGAUAGUAAUCAGAACAUUCUAGGUGUUCUUCUCAACAUCCAGGUUUAAAAAUCAACCAGCUACUCACCCAAAUGUAAAAGCACCAUAUUAAUGACUGGCAUCUAAUAUGUUCCAAAUAAAUAUAGUUGUAGGAAAGAACAAAGGAAAUUGCAAUUUGAAAUCAGACUGCAGCAGAGGAAAUACCCUUUGGGGCUACUUGGGGUACUUGUGUCUCUGUCACAGGCCCUCAGACAUCAGAGCAAACGGCUCCUUACACCUGGAUGGCUCUGCCCACAUGGCCUACGUCCCCCCGCCCACCCUUCCUCCAUAGCCUCCUGAAACCUCCCCAUCUUCAGGGGACACUCUCAAAGCACCUGGCUCAGAACCACUGCCAUCCAAGGAGCGGGGAGUCCCAGGGCUGAGCAAAUGCAGGGGAGAGGUGGGCAGCUCCCCUGCUUCCCGAUCCUCAUUUUCUGCUUCACUUGACUCCUCCAGAUAGGAGCUGCUCUCGCUGCCCGCACUGCUGUUAUAGCUCCGGAAACUGUCAUAGCCACCAAAGAGCUCCAAAUCGUCCUCCUCUUCCUCUUCCUCCUCCAUAGGUUCUGAAGAUGGAGCUUCCUAAUGAAAGAUACAAACCAGGCAGGAGAAAUCAGGUCUGACUUAGUGUAUGCAGAGGGAGGCUGCAGGUGGGCUCUCAGCUCCCUUUUCCAGUUCUUGGUCAAGUCAACACCUCUGAGCCAAGUGGCACGCAGAAUCAAAUACCCCUUUAGCAAACACCAGGCUCCUUACUCUUGUUUGUACAAUUCUUAACCACAACUCAUCAGAAUAGCUUAACGAGACAGAAAGUACGAAUUAGGAAUUGACCAAGCUCCUCCUGUGGAUUCAUAAAUGAUGACCUUUUAACAUGAUUCAAAUAGAAUAC
rnacentral:lncRNA from 1 species